GCUGCCGCAAAAUCGGUAGCCGGGCGUAGGAACCCGAGCUUAAUCUUGGCGACACAGCACGCGCCACGCGUGUUUUUU
rnacentral:sRNA from 1 species